AUUGGGCGGCUCCACCUGCACCUUCACACCUGCACCAGAUUACUGCAAUCACCACCUGCAUUUAAGCCUUCUGUGAGGCUUCUCCAGUGCCAGAUUAUUCCUGCAUCUGAUGUGUGCCUCAACGAGACCCCCACGCUGCCACACUCUCUCCCUGGAUUCACUCACCAGCCUCCUCCUCCAGCCCUCACGUCUCCUCGUAUUCCCUCCUCACUCCUUGGACCCCGGAUCCCUUCCCUCCACCCUUUUUUCCCCUUCAAUAAAUUCACUUAACUGCUUCA